AGUUUGGGAACCACUGCUGUAGAUGGAGCAGCACCUUGGACAGAGCCGUGCUGGGCAGGCUCAGGGGAGCAGAGCGAGAGCUCUGGCCUGUUACCUGCCAGGCUGAGGCCCCUGACAAAAAGGGCCGAGAAGAUGCAAGGGCCAAGGGGAAGUGGCCCAGGGAGCAUGAACAAUAGAGGGGAGAGAAGGAGGGCAGGACAUGGCUGCUGCUAGAGGGUCCCUGGGUCGGGACCUAGAGUAGUGGGCAGGCCUGGCUCCCCCCACCCCACCUCCCUUGCUCUGCACUUGUUACGGAGCAAUGUGGCCGAGACAGAUUGCAGUUUGCCCCGAGGCUGCAGUUGGCCACAGAGGCCAUGCAGAGACUGCAGACAGACUGACAAUACCCCCGGAAGGGGAAUGGAGUUGGGGGCACAGCUGGAGGGCUGUGUCCUGAAGCGACGCUGCGGCUCAAGGAGCGACAUGGGUCCAGCUACAGGCAGUGGAGACAGAGCAGAGCAGACACCAGGCGAGACACCAGCCGAAGGCAGUGCACUCAAACUGGACUGAGCUAAUUCCCGGACUGAAUAGCAGGAGGUGCCGCGGUGGUGAGUCUGCGCCCCGUCACACCCAGCAAUCAAGGGAGCAAAGGGACUGGUUGGAGCCCUUGCAGCCAAGGGGUGAAAGGGCUUGUUUGGUUUGUUUACACUCUUGUUUUAUCCUGCCAGGGCAGGUGGAGGGGUUAAGGAGAACUCUUCCUUUGGCCAGAGAGCUCAAAGCACCAAACUACCACCUCAUUAAUGCAGCCCGUUACCAGAUGUGGAGGGAAGCUGAACCAGCAGUCGCUCCGGGCAGAGAGUCAGCACAAAGAAUCUCGUUGCACUUGGUGUUGGACAGGCACAGAGACAGACACAGCUUCCAGCAUGGCCAGUGUUUACCCUAGACUCAGAAUUCAGCAUCAUUCGUUGCAGGAAGAUUUUAGAACCUGUCAGCCACUGUUUAAUAGACCUGGGUUUCUAUUGACAACGAGCUAAAUCCUUGGACUUUGGACCAGCUUGCUGCAUUUCUAAACUGUGUCAGAGAGAUCUCAGGGACCAGCGCCAGCCCACAACCCGUCGCUGAAAAACACUGUUGUGAGGUCCCAUGGAUGAAAAGGAAAAGCAUCAACAUGGAGCGGUCUCAAGAAGCUGGGAAGAGAAUGGCUUCCAGAGCUGUGACAGUGGGAGACACUGCAGGAGCCCACACAAUGUGAUACAGGAACCCAGCAGGAAACACACUAGACAUUAGUGUGUUGUGGAAGAGGUUCCAACAAAGCCACAAACUUUAUACCCGUAUGAAUGUGGGAAAGAAUCCAGAGGAGAGGUGUUAGAUUCAUGCCUGUGGGUCUGCACAGGGCAAACCUAACAGAAAUAUCCUCAGGCAAAGGAACAUGCUCAAGGUGCAUCCAGGUAUCUGCAUCCAGGGGAGAGGGCGGUGUAAAUGCACUGAGUGUGGCAAAAACCUUCCGGAAGAAGAAGAUCCUGAAGGUGCAUCAGAUUGUGCCCACAGGGGAGAGGCCACACCAGGGCAGGGAGUGUGGGAGAAGAGCUACCGGCAUAAACAGAUACUUCUGACACACCAGUGUUUGCACACGGGGGAGCGGCCCUAUCCCUGCACCGACUGUGGGCAGAGUUCUGGCAAAAGGAGAUGCUGAUCAUCCACCAGUGUAUCCACACCGGGGAGCGGCCCCACGCCUGCCUACGCCGCGGGAAGAUCUUCCGCCAGAAGAGCGGCUUGAACAAGCACCAGAGAGUCCACAGGGUGGACGUGGCCCCGCAGUGUGCCCAGUGUGGGAGGGACAUCGGCAAGACGCAGGGGGUCCCGAUACACCAGGCCCCCUAUCGAUGUCCUGAGUGCAGCAUAGACUUGAGUCUGAGAAUCCACCUGCGGGACAUGAUACAUCGCUACAGUGACAGCAGGAGGGGCUUUGGGAAGGAGCCAAAGCCGAUCAGGCCACAGGAACGCCACGCAGCAGAGAGGCCCUUCACAGGCACAGAACGUGGGAACAGCUUAAAGCAGAGCAACCACCUGCUGAGCCACCAGCCGCCCCACGCCCUCGGCGAGCCACCAGCCGCCCCACGCCCUCGGCGAGCCACCAGCCGCCCCACGCCCUCGGCGAGCCACCAGCCGCCCCACGUCCUUGGUGAGCCACCAGCCACCCCACGCCCUCGGCGAGCCACCGGCAGCCCCACGCCCUCGGCGAGCCACCGGCCGCCCCACACCCUCGGCGAGCCACCACAUAUGCAGCCAGUGCGGAAAGAGCUUCAGCCAAUGGAUACAUCUGAUAGCACACGAGAAAACUCACACAGCAGAGAAUCAGAUUAAAUGCACUGACUGUGGGUAAAAUCGGUUCCUGGGAGAAUAGCCCCAUCACAUGCUUAGAAUUAGGGCAGGGGAAAGAACGCUUUCUGUGUGUCAGUGGUGGAGGGACAUCUUAGCAAGGGAAUGACACAGGAAGGAGACUCCGUAGGGGUCUAUUUACAUGCAAAGAACCUCAGAAACCGAUUGUGUUUGAACAUCCCUGCUCUGACCAAGCUCUGCUCAGCACCAGACUCGGGGAACGUGGGGUCAAGGGGCUUUAACACCUUUACACUCCCCUGAUUCAGGGGUCUGUCCCCAGACUAUGCGAUAGCACCUCACAGCUGCUCUAAACUGUCAGCUGCUCACAGCCCCAUGGAGCUGUUCCAGCAGCAGGGGAUUGCCAGGGUGCAAGUUCACUUUGGACUUGCCCCUUCACCCCAAGGCACAUCACCUGUUAAUGUGGUUCUACACCACCCGAGAAUUCCCCAACACUGUGGGGAUCCUCAGCAUAUCCCCUGCUUCCAUGGCUGCAGAGGGCAGCGAAGCGGCUGAGACAGACGUGUCAUUGCUGAGUUCUCCUUCCCCAGCUGAACUCACUGGGCGAGAAACUCAAUAAAUGUGAGCAAAGCUGUUUUGAAUGUUCCAUGCCACACUAGGUGUGUACAGAGUCAUGAAUCCUGUGCUGUGAGUGCAGGACCAGGUGUGUCCUGUACCCAUGUGUAUUUUAUGUCUACACAAGAGUGUCUUGUUGCCCUUGGAGGGCUGGUGGGGUGUUUAUUAUGUAAAUGGCUGGGGAUUAGAAAGUUGGUUCUUUUUAAUCAAGAAUGGAAUUUCUUAGCUUGUUUCCAUGUAGUGCCUGGUUUUUCAACCACAGGGGAUCUGGGAGCCUGAACUCUUUUGCCACAGACCAAACCUUUAAACCCAAAACAACCUGUGCUGUCUGCAAACCCUGUUGAAUCGACGUGGUUAGCACAAGAAACCACCAGAAAUGUGCACUGCUGCAGGUACCCUCAAUCCAAGUGUCUCUCAGCCCUUCACACACACAUGAAUUGCGUCUCACAGCCUGCCCUGUGAGGGAGAGAGGCAGUUGUUAUUAUCCUCGCUUUAUAAAUGGGAAACGUAAGGUCCAGAAAGGGUAAGAGGCGGUGCCUCCGGGAGAAACAGAGAGGGGGAGGGGCACUACUUGGCCCUCAAACCCUCCCCCUCUUCCACCCCAUCACAGCCCAUGAGGCUGUGGCUGCAAGAAAAGCCCCAGGUGGCCACGUUUGAGAACCGCUGAACCACGUGAGUGGAGAAGGUUCUCAGGAAGGUGAUGAUCUCUCCUUAGCCCUCUUCUCUGCCACCCUAGAAAUAGCUCGUCCCUGCCCGGUGACGUUGUGACAGGUGACUCACCCCUACGAACAGCGUAUGCUUGAGCAGUGAGCUCGUGUGUCAGCUGGUGACGGGGCUCACUCCCCACACUGGUGCCCCUUGCUGGACAUCUUGGGGAUUAGCUCAGCAGGUCGGUACUCCCUCUCCCGGUGAUGCCUCGCCUGCCAUCACAUCUUCUCUCUGACCCAGGUUACUCCAGGACCGUGGUUUAGACUCUCUGGCUGUAAGGCUCUGUCUACACUACAGCCUAUGUUGGCAAAACUUAUGUCACUCAGAGGUAUGAAUAUUCCACCCCCCUGAGCAACAUCAGUUACGCCGACAUCAACGCUCGUGUGCACGGCGCUAUGUCGGUGGGAGAGCUUCUCUUGCCAACAUAGCUUAUGCCUCUCGUGGGGCCGGGGGUUUUAUGCGGACGGGAGAGCUCUAUCCCAUUGGCAUAGAGCAUCUUCACCAGACACACUGGAGCGCUGCAAGUGUAGACACGCCCUCAGAGUUCAAACAGCGAAGAGAGAGAUGGAAAAUUUUUCUGUGGCUUUGUUUUAUUUCCUUCAUUCAGCUCAGCAUUUCGAUAGGGUCAUGAACCAAUCCUUUGUAUUGCGAUGUUCCUUGAUGGCCCAUCUGAUCUCAUAGUCCUUCUGGAUGGGUAGGGGACAGGGACGCUUUCCGUGCCUGUGUUAACAAGUUCAGAGCAAACAUUUUCAAAGUUAUAAAGCAAAACUUGUGUAUUUUUUUAUAGCAGGGAAUGCCGACAUUACACGUGAGAUUUAAUGCAAGCAACAACUUACAAACAUUUCUUAGAGUCUGACCACUAAAUAUAUUCUUAUAAGAUUAAUAGUUUUGCUCAAAAUAGAUAACAUACAGGUGAACUGGUUUGGUCUCCGGCGAUAAGUUUGUUAGUUUUUAGCUACUGCCUGCAGUAUUGGCAAGAGCUGGCCCCUGGUUUGCCAGCGACUCAAAAUUAACCAAAUGUUUGGAACAGUACAAACAUACAUGCAUGGAAGAAGCUUACUGAAAAUACAAAUACUCAGUGGGAGGGAGAAACCUAGGAAUUGUACUGCUUAGAGAAGCAGGGUGUUCAGUAGUAACUAAUACCAAUUCUGCACUAUGGAGACUUUGGGCCAGAUCCUCAGUUGGUGUAAAUCUAUGAAGUCAAUGGAUUUUGCUCAUAUGCAUCAGAUGAGGAUCUGGCCGAUUGUGUAGGGUCCAGGAGGACUGGAAGGAUUGUAUAAUAAACUCUGUGGGUUUCAGUGUAGCCAACACUCAUGGUUUUAUUGCAAGUCUCAUGGUAUUGGAUGCUUUUCUUAUAAGCCCCAGCUCUGGGAGUCAUGUCAACGUGCGAAUUUCAGCUAGUGCUCAUGGCUUUGCAGGAAAGCUUGGAAACAUGACCCAUCCGCCUCUGAGGCUACGUGUACACAGCCGGGGGCAGCAAAUCUCAGCACCUGGGCAGACUCCGGCUUGCAUUACAGCUCUAAAAUCAAUUGCAGAGACAUUCGAGCUGGAGCUUGGGCUCUGAAGCCCUUCCCCUUCCCUAGGCUCCAGAGCGGUUUUAGUGCGGUAGCGCCAGUCCUGUGAGUCUGAGCGGCCGACCGGGGGUCUGCAAUUCACUGCUGCGGGCUGCCACUCACGGUAGAUGCACCCUUAAAGGCUCACAAACCAGGCGCAAAUAAAAGAACCAGCCAUUUGUGGGUAUGAAUUUCCAUGAUUUUUUUAAAAAAAGGAGUACUUGUGGCACCUUAGAGACUAACAAAUUCAUGAAAAAACUCAUACAGAUACAGA